AGUAAAUAGAUACCCUGGUAGUCCACGCCGUAAACGAUGAUUACUCGAUGUUGGCGAUAUACAGUCAGCGUCUAAAGCGAAAGCAUUAAGUAAUCCACCUGGGGAGUACGUUCGCAAGGAUGAAACUCAAAGGAAUUGACGGGGGCCCGCACAAGCGGAGGAGCAUGUGGUUUAAUUCGAUGAUACGCGAGGAACCUUACCUGGGCUAGAACGCUGGACGACCGUCCGGGAAACCGGAUUUCUCUUCGGAGCGGCCAGCGAGGUGCUGCAUGGUUGUCGUCAGCUCGUGCCGUGAGGUGUCGGGUUAAGUCCCAUAACGAGCGCAACCCCUAUCUUUAGUUGCCAUCAGGUCAUGCUGGGGACUCUAGAGAAACUGCCUACGCAAGUAGUGAGGAAGGUGGGGAUGACGUCAAAUCAGCACGGCCCUUACGUCCAGGGCUACACGCGUGCUACAAUGGCCGGUACAGUGGGUCGCUACCUGUGACAGGAUGCUAAUCUCUAAAACCGGUCUCAGUUCGG
rnacentral:rRNA from 1 species